rnacentral:rRNA from 1 species
AUUGAACGCUGGCGGCAGGCCUAACACAUGCAAGUCGAGCGAGCGGCGGACGGGUGAGUAAUGUAGGGGGAUCUGCCCGAGAGAGGGGGAUAACUACUAGAAACGGUGGCUAAUACCGCAUACUCUCGGAUGCCCCAGAUGGGAUUAGCUAGUGGGGGGGGUAAGGGCUCACCUAGGCGACGAUCUCUAGCUGGUCUGAGAGGAUGAUCAGCCACACUGGGACUGAGACACGGCCCAGACUCCUACGGGAGGCAGCAGUGGGGAAUAUUGCACAAUGGACGAAAGUCUGACCGAGCAACGCCGCGUGAGUGAAGAAGGUUUUCGGAUCGUAAAGCUCGUUGUUAGAGAAGACGGUAUCUACCCAGAAAGCCACGGCUAACUACGUGCCAGCAGCCGCGGUAAUUC